rnacentral:rRNA from 1 species
AAUGAUUACCCUGAACGGUGGAUCACUUGGCUCGUGGGGUCGAUGAAGAACGCAGCUAAUUGC